GGCAAUUCAUGAUUUCUUUUUAUCUUUAAUAAAAGUAUGAAAUAUAUUUUUGGUAUUGUUUCAAAAAAAAAAAUUCGUGUUUCUUUUUUUGAUUAUGAUCAGCAUUGUCUGGUUGUAUGCUAGCGUGCUCCAUUGAUUCUAGUGCGGUAGGUCGUGGGUUCGAACCCCGGUAGGUCAAACCAAUGGCUUAAAAAUUGGUAGAAUAAUGUGUCAAGGUAGGUUGACAUGUCUUCCAGCGGAAUGUUUACAGAUAACUUGUGAUCACUUGUGACAUUAGAACGUCAAAAAUCCGGUUAAGUAACAAUGUUGGUUUAGCCUUCUCUGUACCUUUUCUUAUGGUUAAUGAUUAUGUAUAAUAAAUAUAUCCUAAUUGAUGCUUAUAACAUGUUCUCGUCUUUUAGAAAGCUUAUAACUUGCUGUUGGACAUAAAUAUAUAUAUAUAUAUAUAUACAUAAGAACGUGUGUUGAAGCUUUUCGAUACUACAGGUCACAGGAGAAUCGAAAGUUUUUGUUGACCAACAGAGAUUAACUUUAAUAUCGAAACUUGUUUUGUUACUUACUAGGCUAGCCAAUAAAAAAAAACGUUAUAUCUUUUUUUUUGUUUUUUUUAUUAUAAAUAGUAAUGCUGAAAUAAGCUUCUCCCGUUUCAGUCACC
rnacentral:lncRNA from 1 species